CAAACAGUUAACAUUUGCGUUUAUUUUGCAGCAAAACCUGUACUCUUAGAGAAUGUGCAUUUUAGCCACUGACAUCACCACUGAGCAUUUCAUUUUAGACAGAAACUGCAGAGGUAAAAGGCAACAAUCUUGCAAGGCUUCGUAAGAACCAAAAAAAAACAUUCCACCUGAUAACACCAGAAGCCCGACUGCAGUCAACCAUCCUUAUCUAAUACAGGUUUCACCACCUGGGAGGCUGAGUGUUAAGACAUUUGAACGACAUCUCAUCUAAGGGAUUGCAAGUAGGGUUUUUUUCAUUUACAGGCUGCCAGCUUUUUGGUGUCCUUGUUCAGUAGUUUGCAAAAGUAAGCCGUGUGUGCAUGUGUGUGGAAAAAGAACAGGGUGAGAGCACCUGCAGGCUUGACAUAACUUGUGCUGUUUACUCCAUUCAGCAUUCUUUUCUGAAGACAAGUCACGAAGUGUUGUAUGUAAAGUGCUGAGAGUUCAGCAACAGGCAGUCAACUAACAUUAAAAUCAAGUUUAUCCAAAGUGGAAUGCUUGUAUAUUGAUGCUGCCAAAGAAGUAACUGACUGAGACAAAAAUCCAGGACUUCGCUGUGUCUUUUUUCUUAGAACAUUAUAGCUACGUGUAUUCCCAGCCCACGCUGACUUUAACCUCAUCAGCUGUACACAGAAAUGAAAAGUAAACCCUGCAUGACCUUAACCUGCUAACAUGCUGUCAGACUCAGUUCCAUACCUGCACCUCACCUCUUCAGACAAACAUUCAGGCAGAAAUUUACUUAUAGCAGACUGGUCUGAUCCAAAUAUUAUGUCCUCAGCUGGACUGCGUGGUGUCUUUUCAAACAAUCUAUACUUCCAUGAAACAUGCAUGAAACCAAAUUUUGAGUUCACAAAUAAAUAAAGUGUCGCUCACCAUUAGUUUUUAUAUAUUUUACCAUUUACUGAAAUGCUUAAAGUAACUCAGUCCCUUAAGAAUGAAUUUCAGGGGUAUUUAAAUAAAAAUAUUUUGAAAUUGAAACCACAUUUAAAACUGGCAAAACUAUGCUUUGUUUUUGGAAGGGUCUUCCUUGUUUCUUCUCUUUACAUCCCAAUUAUAAACUCUAGCCAUAUCUGAGGGUGUGGGAUUAAGGAAACAGAAGUGUUCAGCAGAAAGAAAAGAAAAAAGGGGAAAAGCUGGAUAUGCUGUGAUCAUACGUACUCCAUUGAACUUGCAGCAGUCUACAGAAACCUUUUAAUGGAAGAGUUGAUGCGCUGCAGAGGCGUAUCAGUAACUCUAAGAAAGGAGGAAGAGUUGUUUUACUUUGAAAUGGUUGCCUGGCCAUCUCUUGACAGCACUGACCCACUCCUCCAGCUCACUCCCAGUCCAGGCUUGCAACCAUCACAGCAGAUCUCAAACAGCUUUCACUACAUUCAGCCGCCAACCCAUCCCUCAGCACCGAAAACAAAAAGUUAUGGUUCACUGCUAAAAAAAAAACAAACCCUGGAGUGUUACAGAAUUUUAAUGACAGCAGGUCCAAGAUAAAAGCAUGUCUGGAAACGAGUAGGUACCUGUACAUUACCUUCCACAUCACUCCUGCAUAUUAAAAGGAUACUGACUUCUGUAGUGGUGAACUGAUCCCUAAGAAAAUCCAGGUCUUCCUCUAGAGAAUCAAGGUUUCUUGUGGCUGUUGACAAGUUCUUCUCUAACAGAGCCUGAGCUUCAUCAAUAUCAUAUUCAAGCAUCACAUUGGCCCCCAGCCACAAACAAACUUUGUCUGUAGGAGGAACUGAAGCUUUGCAGUAGAGAUUAUCUGCCAAUAAAAAUCGGGUUUCCAUUGGAUUUGUGGAUUCCUUUUUCUUCUGCAUGUGUUUUAAAAUUUCUAAUGUCUGUUUAAUUUCGGGAAUCUGACCUUUUAGCCUUCGUUUCUUCUGAGCAAGAUUAAGUUCCAAAAACUUAUACUUCUGGUACUGCUCAUCCAACUUCUUCAGAACUACAUCUGCUGUCUCAUUUCCGGGCUGUUUCAUAAAAGAAUCCACAUCUUCCACGAAGACGGCCUCGGGGAUGCCGAGCGGGCCCCGCUUGCCGCCCGCCGCCGCCGCCGCCGCCUCGCCGCAGCCCGGCCCGCUGCUGCUGGCCGCCGCCAUCUUGGGGAACCGACGCCGCGCGCGGC
rnacentral:lncRNA from 1 species